rnacentral:rRNA from 1 species
GAUGAACGCUGGCGGCGUGCCUAAUACAUGCAAGUCGAGCGAACGGACGAGAAGCUUGCUUCUCUGAUGUUAGCGGCGGACGGGUGAGUAACACGUGGAUAACCUACCUAUAAGACUGGGAUAACUUCGGGAAACCGGAGCUAAUACCGGAUAAUAUUUUGAACCGCAUUGUUCAAAAGUGAAAGACGGUCUUGCUGUCACCUAUAGCUGGAUCCGCGCUGCAUUCGCUAGUUGGUAAGGUAACGGCUUACCAAGGCAACGAUGCAUAGCCGACCUAAGAGGGUGGUCGGCCACACUGGAACUGAGACACGGUCCAGACUCCUACGGGAGGCAGCAGUAGGGAAUCUUACGCAAUGGGCGAGAGCCGGACGGAGCAACGCCGCGUGAGUGAUGAAGGUCUUCGGAUCGUAAAACUCUGUUAUUAGAGGAGAACAUAUGUGUAAGUAACUGUGCACAUAUUGACGGUACCUAAUCAAAAAGCCACGGCUAACUACGUG